rnacentral:rRNA from 1 species
UACGUAGGGUCCAAGCGUUAUCCGGAAUUACUGGGCGUAAAGCGCGCGUAGGCGGCUUUGUAAGUUAGAGGUGAAAGCCCGGGGCUCAACUCCGGAACUGCCUUUAAGACUGCAUCGCUUGAAUCCGGGAGAGGUGAGUGGAAUUCCGAGUGUAGAGGUGAAAUUCGUAGAUAUUCGGAAGAACACCAGUGGCGAAGGCGGCUCACUGGACCGGUAUUGACGCUGAGGUGCGAAAGCGUGGGGAUCAAACAGG